AUGUUGCGAUAUGACCUUGAAGACCAGCUCUCAACCAUCUACGCUGAUGAAGAGGCCUAAUGGCGUCUGCGUGGUACCCAGCGGUGGGUACUUCGGGAAGAUGUCAACACCGCCUAUUUCUAGGUGGUGGCGAACGGCCGCCGGCACCGAAACUCCAUCCACUGCCUUUGGGAUGGAGAUACACCUCUCGUUCGCCCCUCGGCCAUUCGUACCCAUGUAGAUGGCUUUGACAAGGACCUAUUUACCCCCACCCCUCGGGGUGGGGCUAGUCUCGCCCCCGACGUUUGGUCGGGUGCUCAUUUGGUCUCUGAUGCGGCCAAUGCUGCUUUAGUGGCCCCCUUCACUGAGAACGAGGUUCUCGCGGCUAUUAAAGGGAUGAACCCCUCCUCGGCCCCAGGUCCGGAUGGCCUGCCAGUAACAUUCUUUAAGACGUUCUAGCCGACCAUCAAGCCAGAGGUCAUGGCCCUGUUCAAGGAAUUCUUCUCGGGCUCUAUGGAUCUUGGGCGCCUCAACUAUGGCAUCGUGACCCUCAUCCCCGAGGUCCCGGGCGCCUUCGACAUCCGCCAAUUUCGGCCAAUCACCGUGAUCAAUGUGAUAUCCCGGAUUCUGGCCAAAGGGUACGCCAAUAGGGUGACCCUGCUCGCGGACGUGAUUACCGACCCGAAUCAAUCUGCCUUCAUAUAA
rnacentral:rRNA from 1 species